GCUAGGAGUGUAAAAGUGGGUGUACUAUCCAAAGCCAUAUAUUUGGAAGCAUUGAGGGACCAAAUGUCACACUUAACACGACAUAGGCAAUGAGGUCAUAUAUCUCCAAAUAAUCAAUCUCCAUGGCGGUUUGAAUAAAAAAACAUAUCACAUUUUAUUAAAAAAAUUAAAAAAAAUGGUAAAUAACAUAAAACGUUCAUAUAUUUCAAUGUUAUUGUGCAAAAUGUCCAUACCUUUCUUUUUUGGCAUUUUUAUCCCUAUUCCCACUUUUCAUUGUCCAAAAUGUCAUUUUCAUCUAUUUUUUCAAUAAAAUGAUGAUUUUACCCUUAUAUUCAAAUAAAACAAAAAGAAAUGAAAUGAAAUGAUAAAGAACUAAUUACAAUAAUAAUUCCAAAUUUUCAAAAAAUUACAAAUUAAUCACAAAUAUAUAAUUCAAAUUCAAAACUAAAAAGGCCAAAAAAAAACCAUUCAAUGAUUAUUGGAACUCAAUCAGCCUGCUCACAUUCAUCAAAUUGUUUUGGAAGAUAAAUUGUCCUUUUUUAUGCACGUUACUUUUUUUCUUUUUCUUUUUUUUUCCUCAUCUCCAUCUCUCUCCCCCAGUCACAGAGAGGAAAAAGGGAGAACAAAAAGAUUAAAUCAUAAAAAACCUGGAUUCAGAUUCUUCAUAACUGCACACAUUUGAAUUCCACUUGAAUUUUUCAUGUUUUCGCAUGAAAAUAACCAGAUCCAAGAAUCUUGACUAAACGGGUGUUCUGGGUGUUAGCAAAUCUAUCAUGACUUCAGAUUCAAUAUCUAAUUCAAAGCCUGCACCAAUUCCAUCCAAAUAGGAAGACGAGUUACCAAAUUCAACCGCUGCUCUUUUUCCCUGAGAGGCUGAGACACGGAAUCUUCCUCCUUAAUCUCCCUGUCAUUGAAAGAAUCGACCAACAGGAUUCUAUUCAUUUGUCUAAUUCUUUCCACAGGCAUUGCUCUCUCUGCUUCUUUUGCCUUUGUCUUUUCUAUUCUUCUCCUCUUUUGCUUCAUCAUCGCCAUCAGCAACUUCUCAAUCCCUUGAUCAAGUCUCGAGGCCACUCACAAAGCUCAAGCACCCAGUUGUUUUGUUAAUAUUCUCAGAUGGUUUUCGAUUCGGGUACCAAUUCAAGACCUACACUUCAAAUAUCAAAAAGAUUGAUUGUUGGGGAUCCUAGGAGUUCAAUCAACCAAAACAUCAACCCAUAGACAAGAUUCAAGGCAAAACAAUGAAAAAAGGGGAUGGAAAAAUACAACCUGUGUUCGGCCGAAAUCUGUCCAGCUUUCCUUCCUCGUUUCAGCAGCUUCUUCUUCGAUUUAUGGGUGUUUUUCAGGCUCAGGAACAGCCUUCCAUGACUUGCUAAUUACCUUCCAAGAGAGAGGGGAAAACCAAUGAAGAACCACAACCCUUUGCCAAAGAGAACCGAGAGCUCCUCUCUGCUGGGAGAAAAGAAACCGAGAGCUCUUCUUCUUAAAAUGGUAGAGGGUAAGUCUACAUAAGAAGGAAAGACCAUGCCUCUGCCAAAAAACGUGGGAAGACCUUAUUGUGUCAACAUCAAUACCAUCAAGUCACUAGUUGAUAGUGUUAGGUGAACCAUAUCCUCACAUUCUUCACCUUGGUUCUCCUAACACUCUCUCUUGAUUGCGAAUUUGCACAUGGAAGAACUGUUCAUCAUCAUCGCUCACCACCUGCAAGAAAAUUAACCAGUGUCAAUGUGUAAUAAAGAUAAGCACAAUCUAAAUUUACUUGCAGGUAGAAUUUUUGUUCCCAUAUCAGAGGGAUUCCUAUCAGUGUGAAUUUUAACAAGAUUAACUUCACCUUGAGACAGUUUCUCACGUAUAAAAUGAUACUUUACCUCAAUAUGUUUAGUUCUUUCAUGGUAAACAGGAUUUUUACAAAGCAAUAAAGCACUUUGACUAUCAGUAAACAUAACAGGUGUAUCAUGCAUGAAGUUCAAUUCUUUUAAAAUUCCUUUUAACCAAGUACAUUCUUUAGCCGCCUCAGUUAUGGCAACAUAUUCUGCCUCAGUACUUGACAAAGUAACUAAAGGCUGCAGCUGUGACUUCCAUGUUAUACAAUUGUCACCUAGUGUAAAAAAGUACGCUGUGGUAGACUUUCU
rnacentral:lncRNA from 1 species